GAACAUAAGAAGAUUGUUUAUACACAACAUGUUUAUUAGUUCGUGUAUUUUCUCCUAGGCUUACUAAUCUUGAUCUAUAUCUCUGUGGUGAUGAUAUAGAUCUAAGUUACUUUUCAUUGUCCUUGGCAAACCCAGUGCCUUAAAGCCUCCAUGGUCUCAAUAGGAGUUUCAAAGGAUGUCUGUGACUCUUUCCAGUAAGUUUCUGCCUCGUUCGCCUACUUAUGAAAAAUAUCUAAAAAUAAUUAAGCGUUAUGUUGUUAUUACAACAUGUGCACGGGAAGAGUGCUUCCUCUAGAAUCAUCAGCAAGCGGCUCAUCGUCUUUUUUCUUUCCGGGAAAGUAAUCAGCUGUAUCUGAAGUCUGUUAAAGAUGUAAUGGAUUCUUUUUCUUCUUUUAGCCAAGUGGGAAAGAAAAGAUCAGGUGGCUUUGCCCCUGAAUUGGAGGCAACCAAACCAGGCAUGGUCAUAUGAAGUGGUGUGAUGGCGUGAAAAAUACGGUUGAGACAAUCGAAAACAGGUUGAGUGAAUGACCGCAAAGGACUUGAUGAUAAGUAAGACUUCCAAAUCUCCAUUUUCAGCGGCUAGAGCCAGCAAUUUGCUUUUGUUUUUGAGCAGUUAUGUUUUGUUUUUACAACUUUUCGGAGAUUUGCAUUACCAGUGUCUAGUUUUGCAAGGGAAGCAUGGUUCUGAGAGACUCAAGUUACUUGAAACUUGUGUUAAACAGAUUUGGUAUAUGUAUUCAAUGUUAUCAAUCAGUAUAUUAAAAAGUUCGCACUUAUUAGUUGGAUUUGUUUAGCGUUAUCAGUUAAUUGUCCCAAUGAAAGAAUUCUGGAUCUGCUUUGUCAUUUCUGCCUGGG
rnacentral:lncRNA from 1 species